rnacentral:rRNA from 1 species
AGGCCAGUGAAUGGCAAGACUAGGAAUAUCUGUACUUUAUGUAUAAAAAAAACUUUUCUUCUAAGUGAAAAGACUUAGAUAAUAAAGGAAGACGAAAAGACCCCGCGGAACUUCACCUUUUCUUUAUACCUCUGCGUACCAAGCUUAAAAGUAUACAAGGUUUGAUUGGGGCAAUCUUGGAACCAAUAAAGCUUCCAAACUUUCAUAUAAAGAUAUAGAAAAUUUAUUAAGGACCAAAAAGUAGUUACCCCGGGGAUAACAGCGUAAUCCAACUUAAGAGUACACAUCGAAAGUUGGGUUUGCGACCUCGAUGUUGGCUUAAGGACAUCCACAUAAGUGCAACCGCUAUGAUAGGAUAGUCUGUUCGACUAUUGUACCCUUACAUGAUCUGA